AUACUCACCUGGACGGGGUAAUGGGUGAUCAACAAGGCCCAUGAACUAGGUUAGCAAUCUCGAUCCAUUGCACUCAGGAGGAGUGCUUGCCUAAGGUCUACCCAAGUGGUGGAGCCUACGUCAUAUAUAAUUUUUAGAAGAGGGGGGUCUAUGUUUGCGUGGCCCUCAC